rnacentral:rRNA from 1 species
AGUGAACGCUGGCGGCAUGCCUAACACAUGCAAGUCGAACGGCAGCACAGUAAGAGCUUGCGCUUACGGGUGGCGCGUGGCGGACGGGUGAGGAAUACAUCGGAUUCUACUUUUUCGUGGGGGAUAACGUAGGGAAACUUCCGCUAAUACAGCAUACGACCUACGGGUGAAAGCAGGGGUUCUUCGGACCUUGCGCGAUUGUAUGAGCCGAUGUCGGAUUAGCUAGUUGGCGGGGUAAAGGCGCAACAAGGCGACGAUCCUUAGCUGGUCUGAGGGGAUGAUUCGCUAGAUGGGCACUGAGACACGUCACACACUCCUACGGGGGGACGCAGUGGGGAAUAUUACGCGAUGGGGGAAAGCCUGAUCCAGCAAUACCGGGGGAGUGAUGAAGGACUUCGGGUUGUUAAGCCCUUUUGUUCGGAAAGAAAAACAGCUGGUUUACACCCGACUGUUCUGACGGUACCCAAAGAAUAAGCACCGGCUAACUUCGUG